AUUCCACGCAGAGGGAACCGCUUGUGCAAAGGCCCCGAGACUGCAAGAACAUCCUGAAGAGGGUAGAAGAGAGGUCUGAGCGGGAGUGCACUGCUUUGGAUGCCCACAAGGAGCUGGAAAUGGUGGUGAAGGCAUGCAACGAGGGCGUCAGGAAAAUGAGCCGCACGGAACAGAUGAUCAGCAUUCAGAAGAAGAUGGAGUUCAAGAUCAAGGUGAACCGGUGGGAUUGGUGUGAGCCUGUGCCCAUGCACAGGCCCCUGGCCCCGCCCCAGAGGCACAGAUCACCGCACCUGGCUGGCCUUGCUUAGGUCCUUGGUCACUGGCCACACUUAGGAUCCCCUCUGCCCCCUGACCUCCCCAGCUGAAGCCACCCCACCUGCCACCAGGCGUCAGACACCACCACGGUGGCCCGGACCUGUCUCCUGGGAGACGGGAGUGCGGGGCUACUGUGCGGUCCAGACCCACGCAGGGUGUGGACCCUGCUCUCACCUGCCCGCUGCGUGGCCUUGAGCAGUCAGUUUACAUGGAGGAUGUGGGGGGGCUGCUCCAGGGAUUCUCAAACCAGGA
rnacentral:sRNA from 1 species